rnacentral:rRNA from 1 species
CGCAUCUGUGCAUGCAGCAUAUCAAUAAGCGGAGGAAAAGAAACUAACAAGGAUUCCCCUAGUAACGGCGAGUGAAGCGGGAAGAGCUCAAAUUUGAAAUCUUAAAGGGUUUCCCUUUACGAAUUGUAGUUUAAAGAAGUGUUUUCUGUUGAGGUUUUGGUAAAAGUUCUUUGGAAUAGGACAUCAUAGAGGGUGAGAAUCCCGUAUUUGACCUUUACUUUCAACUUUGUGAUACACUUUCAAAGAGUCGGAUUGUUUGGGAAUGCAGUCCAAAAUGGGUGGUAAAUUUCAUCUAAAGCUAAAUAUUGGCGAGAGACCGAUAGCGAACAAGUACCGUGAGGGAAAGAUGAAAAGAACUUUGAAAAGAGAGUUAAACAGUACGUGAAAUUGUCAAAAGGGAAGCGUUUGACACCAGUGUUGUUUUUCUGAAAAUCAAUUAAAGAACUGUUUAUGCUAAGCUGUUUAGACUUUAUCAGCUAAUCUGUUUAGUUUUGAGCUUUUCUUUAAUGCACUUUUCAGUUAACAAGUCAACAUCAAUUUCUUUUGCUGUAAAAAAGCUUGAGGAAGGUGGCUUGAGAUUCGUCUUAAGUGUUUAUAGCCUCUUGCCUAUGCAGUCGGAGAGAUUGAGGUCUGCAGCGUAGAUCCUUCGGGGCUAAAUGCAUUUGUGCUAAGUUAUAGCAUUUUAUAGACAACUUGUUGACUAUGAUUUGUCUUGUAGCUUACUCGCUUAUGUUAUUUUACCUACGCUUAGGAUGUUGACAGCAGUAUAGACUGU